GGCAGAAUCCCUCAGCCCUUUUCAGAGCAGGAAGCUGAUGAGCUGCCUUAUUCCCAGGACCCAGGACUACCAGCAAGAUGGUGGGUGUCUGCAACCCAGGAAGAGAGCUCUGACCAACAACUGAAUCUGUGGCACCUUUACCUUGGACUUCUAGCCCCCAGAACUGUGAGAAAUAAACAUCGAUUGUUCAACACCCCCAGUUCUUUGGUAUUUGUUAUGGCAGCCUGAUGGACUAAUACAGUAGGCCAUGAGUUUAUUACACAGCCAGAAAUAUUUGCUGGGUCCCUUGGAAAAAAAGCCUGCAAAAGAAGCCUGUGAAGCGCAAGCUCCAGAAACUGUGAACCGCCACUCUGCCUGUGCACACGAAGGAAUUACAUGA
rnacentral:lncRNA from 13 species